rnacentral:lncRNA from 1 species
CUUCUUUUCUAAUAUAAGCACUUACAGUUUCCCUCUAAGCACUAGCUUCAGCCUACGUAUUUUAGUAUGCUGUGUUUUCAUUAUCAUUUCAUUUGAAAUAUUGUAAAAUUUUUCUUGUGAUUUCCUCUUUGACUCAUGGGUUAUUUAGAAGUAUGUUGUUUAAUUUGCAAAUAGUCAAGGCUCCUCUGAGUAUCUUAGAGCUAUUGAUUUCUAAUUUAAUCUUACUUUGGCCAGACAAGCAUAUUUUGCAUGCUUUUAAAAUUUGAGACUUAUGGCCCAGAAUGUGUAUCUUGGUGAAUGCACUGUUUUCACUUGAGAAAAAAAUAUGUAUAUAUAUUCUAGACUUCCUGAGUAUAGAGCUUUAUAACUGCUGAUUAGGUCAAUUGCUAGUUACCAGUGUUCUUCAGAUUAUCUGAUGCUUGUUUCUCAGAUGUUGAGAGAAUGGUGUUUGCUAUGGCCUACCUGUUUGUGUCCCCCAAAAUUCAUAUGUUGGAGCUUAAUCUCUGGUGCAGUGGUGUUGGGAAUUGGGGCAUCAGGGAAGUAUUGGCUCAUGAGGGCAGAGUCAUCGUGAAUGGGAUUAGUCCCUUCUGCCAUGUGGGGACACAGCAGGAAAAGGACAUCUCUGAAGCAGGGAGCUAGCUCUCACCAGACACUGAGCACCCUGAUUUUGGACUUCCCAGCCUCUAGAACUGUGAGCACUACAAUCUGUUUAUAAAUUACCCAGCCUAAGGCAUUUUGUUUUAACAUCCUGAAUGAACUGAGGUGGUGUUAAAAUCUCCAACUAUGCAUCCAGGCGCAGUGGCUCACACCUGUAAUCCCAGCACUUCAGGAGGCCAAGGCGGGUGG